CCUACGGGUGGCAGCAGUGGGGAAUAUUGGACAAUGGGGGCAACCCUGAUCCAGCCAUGCCGCGUGUGUGAAGAAGGCCCUCGGGUUGUAAAGCACUUUCAGUGAGGAAGAACGCCUGGUGGUUAAUACCCAUCAGGAAAGACAUCACUCACAGAAGAAGCACCGGCUAACUCCGUGCCAGCAGCCGCGGUAAUACGGAGGGUGCGAGCGUUAAUCGGAAUUACUGGGCGUAAAGCGCGCGUAGGUGGCUUGAUAAGCCGGUUGUGAAAGCCCCGGGCUCAACCUGGGAACGGCAUCCGGAACUGUCAAGCUAGAGUGCAGGAGAGGAAGGUAGAAGUCCCGGUGUAGCGGUGAAAUGCGUAGAGAUCGGGAGGAAUACCAGUGGCGAAGGCGGCCUUCUGGACUGACACUGACACUGAGGUGCGAAAGCUUGGGUAGCAAACAGGAUUAGAUACCCCUGUAGUC
rnacentral:rRNA from 1 species